CCUACGGGAGGCAGCAGUAGGGAAUCUUUCACAAUGGGCGAAAGCCUGAUGGAGCAACGCCGCGUGCAGGAUGAAGGCCUUCGGGUUGUAAACUGCUUUUAUAAGCGAGAAAUAUGAUGGUAACUUAUGAAUAAGGAUCGGCUAACUACGUGCCAGCAGCCGCGGUCAUACGUAGGAUCCGAGCAUUAUCCGGAGUGACUGGGUGUAAAGAGUGGCGUAGGUGGCAUAAUAAGUAGCUAGUGAAAUCUGGUGGCUCAACAAUUCAGACUAUUAGCUAAACUGUUAAGCUCGAGACCGUUAGGGGUAACUGGAAUGUCUAGUGUAGGAGUGAAAUGCGUAGAUAUUAGAAGGAACACCAAUAGCGUAGGCAGGUUACUGGGACGGUUCUGACACUAAGGCACGAAAGCGUAGGGAGCAAACGGGAUUAGAUACCCGAGUAGUC
rnacentral:rRNA from 1 species